rnacentral:rRNA from 1 species
AACCAGCACCUCAAGUGGUCAGGAGGAUUAUUGGGCCUAAAGCAUCCGUAGCCUGUUCUAUAAGUUUCCGGUUAAAUCCACUAGCUCAACUAGUGGGCUGCCGAAAAUACUGUAGAACUAGGGAGUGGGAGAGGUAGACGGUAUUCGGUAGGAAGGGGUAAAAUCCUUUGAUCUAUUGAGGACCACCUGUGGCGAAGGCGGUCUACCAGAACACGUUCGACGGUGAGGGAUGAAAGCUGGGGGAGCAAACCGGAUUAGAAACCCCAGUAGUCC